rnacentral:rRNA from 1 species
AACGAACGCUGGUGGCGUGCUUAACACAUGCAAGUCGGACGAGAAAGUUUCCUUCGGGAAUUAGUAAGUGGCGCAAGGGUGAGUAUCACGUGAAUAAUCUGCCCUCGAGAUCGGGAUAACAUGGUGAAAACUAUGCUAAUACCGGAUAAGACCACGUUUCAUAAGAAAUGCGGUAAAAGGAGUCUCAAUCUUCACUCGAGGAUGAGUUCGCGCAACAUUAGCUUGUUGGUGAGAUAAAAGCUCACCAAGGCUACGAUGUUUAGCCGACCUGAGAGGGUGAACGGCCACACUGGAACUGAGACACGGUCCAGACUCCUACGGGAGGCAGCAGUGGGGAAUAUUGCGCAAUGGGCGAAAGCCUGACGCAGCAACGCCGUGUGAGCGAUG